UACGUAGGGACCGAGCGUUGUCCGGAAUCAUUGGGCGUAAAGAGCGUGUAGGCGGCCAACUAAGUCCUGCGUGAAAUCUCGGGGCUCAACCCCCGAGCGGUCGUGGGAAACUGGUUGGCUAGAGUGCGGGAGAGGAGAGUGGAAUUCCUGGUGUAGCGGUGAAAUGCGCAGAUAUCAGGAAGAACACCCGUGGCGAAGGCGGCUCUCUAGAACGCAACUGACGCUGAGACGCGAAAGCGUGGGGAGCAAACAGG
rnacentral:rRNA from 1 species